rnacentral:rRNA from 1 species
GAUAAGCGCUAGCGGCAGGCUUAACACAUGCAAGUCGAGGGGCAGCAUAGAUUGUAGCAAUACAAUUGGUGGCGACCGGCGCACGGGUGCGUAACGCGUAUGCGACCUACCCGUCACAGGGGGAUAAUCCGGAGAAAUCUGGUCUAAUACCCCAUAACAUAUGGAUCGGCAUCGGUUCAUGUUGAAAUUUUCGGAGGUGACGGAUGGGCAUGCGUAGCAUUAGCUUGUUGGUGAGGUUACGGCUCACCAAGGCGACGAUGCUUAGGGGGACUGAGAGGUUUUCCCCCCACACUGGUACUGAGACACGGGCCAGACUCCUACGGGAGGCAGCAGUGAGGAAUAUUGGUCAAUGGGCGCAAGCCUGAACCAGCCAUGCCGCGUGCAGGAUGACGGCUCUAUGAGUUGUAAACUGCUUUUGUACGAGGGUAAAGUGGGUUACGUGUAACCUUUUGAAAGUAUCGUACGAAUAAGGAUCGGCUAACUCCGUGCCAGCCGCCGCCGUAA